UGGACGCCAGUCUGCAUGGAGCCGACCUUGAAAUACCACCCUUUAAUGUUUGAUGUUCUAACGUUGGCCCCUAAUCGGGGUUGCGGACAGUGUCUGGUGGGUAGUUUGACUGGGGCGGUCUCCUCCUAAAGAGUAACGGAGGAGCACGAAGGUUGGCUAAUCCUGGUCGGACAUCAGGAGGUUAGUGCAAUGGCAUAAGCCAGCUUGACUGCGAGCGUGACGGCGCGAGCAGGUGCGAAAGCAGGUCAUAGUGAUCCGGUGGUUCUGAAUGGAAGGGCCAUCGCUCAACGGAUAAAAGGUACUCCGGGGAUAACAGGCUGAUACCGCCCAAGAGUUCAUAUCGACGGCGGUGUUUGGCACCUCGAUGUCGGCUCAUCACAUCCUGGGGCUGAAGUAGGUCCCAAGGGUAUGGCUGUUCGCCAUUUAAAGUGGUACGCGAGCUGGGUUUAGAACGUCGUGAGACAGUUCGGUCCCUAUCUGCCGUGGGCGCUGGAGAACUGAGGGGGGCUGCUCCUAGUACGAGAGGACCGGAGUGGACGCAUCACUGGUGUUCGGGUUGUCAUGCCAAUGGCACUGCCCGGUAGCUAAAUGCGGAAGAGAUAAGUGCUGAAAGCAUCUAAGCACGAAACUUGCCCCGAGAUGAGUUCUCCCUGACUCCCUGAGAGUCCUGAAGGAACGUUGAAGACGACGACGUUGAUAGGCCGGGUGUGUAAGCGCAGCGAUGCGUUGAGCUAACCGGUACUAAUGAACCGUGAGGCUUAACCUU
rnacentral:rRNA from 1 species